rnacentral:pre_miRNA from 1 species
UUAGCUCAUAUUUGUAUGGAGUGGGAUCGUUUACGUAUGUUUGCCGCUAGGGGCGCUGUUCCAACUGCAUACAAAAUUGGCUUA